CGGUUUGGCGCGAACUGCGGAAAUUUUUGCGGCUGAUCGUCUUGUGAUACCGGAUUUACAAGUAACGAAAAUGGACAACUUUAAGAGUCUCUGUGUCGGGGCCAGUGACUGGAUCGAGAUCGAAGAAUGCAAUGAGAAGGUAUGUUGUUUCUCGAUUUCCUGUCGGUCUAUUUAUCUUUUUUGAAUGGGCGUCGGAGGAUUAACGUCGUUUUUACCAAGAUC
rnacentral:pre_miRNA from 1 species